rnacentral:rRNA from 1 species
GAACGCAGAAGAGAGGAGCUUGCUCUUCUUGGAUGAGUUGCGAACGGGUGAGUAACGCGUAGGUAACCUGCCUUGUAGCGGGGGAUAACUAUUGGAAACGAUAGCUAAUACCGCAUAACAAUGGAUGACACAUGUCAUUUAUUUGAAAGGGGCAAUUGCUCCACUACAAGAUGGACCUGCGUUGUAUUAGCUAGUAGGUGAGGUAAUGGCUCACCUAGGCGACGAUACAUAGCCGACCUGAGAGGGUGAUCGGCCACACUGGGACUGAGACACGGCCCAGACUUCUACGGGAGGCAGCAGUAGGGAAUCUUCGGCAAUGGGGGCAACCCUGACCGAGCAACGCCGCGUGAGUGAAGAAGGUUUUCGGAUCGUAAAGCUCUGUUGUAAGUCAAGAACGGGUGUGAGAGUGGAAAGUUCACACUGUGACGGUAGCUUACCAGAAAGGGACGGCUAACUACGUGCCAGCAGCCGCGGUAAUACGUAGGUCCCGAGCGUUGUCCGGAUUUAUUGGGCGUAAAGCGAGCGCAGGCGGUUUGAUAAGUCUGAAGUUAAAGGCUGUGGCUCAACCAUAGUUCGCUUUGGAAACUGUCAAACUUGAGUGCAGAAGGGGAGAGUGGAAUUCCAUGUGUAGCGGUGAAAUGCGUAGAUAUAUGGAGGAACACCGGUGGCGAAAGCGGCUCUCUGGUCUGUAACUGACGCUGAGGCUCGAAAGCGUGGGGAGCGAACAGGAUUAGAUACCCUGGUAGUCCACGCCGUAAACGAUGAGUGCUUGGUGUUGGAUCCUUUCCGGGAUUCAGUGCCGCAGCUAACGCAUUAAGCACUCCGCCUGGGGAGUACGACCGCAAGGUUGAAACUCAAAGGAAUUGACGGGGGCCCGCACAAGCGGUGGAGCAUGUGGUUUAAUUCGAAGCAACGCGAAGAACCUUACCAGGUCUUGACAUCCCGAUGCUAUUUCUAGAGAUAGAAAGUUACUUCGGUACAUCGGUGACAGGUGGUGCAUGGUUGUCGUCAGCUCGUGUCGUGAGAUGUUGGGUUAAGUCCCGCAACGAGCGCAACCCCUAUUGUUAGUUGCCAUCAUUCAGUUGGGCACUCUAGCGAGACUGCCGGUAAUAAACCGGAGGAAGGUGGGGAUGACGUCAAAUCAUCAUGCCCCUUAUGACCUGGGCUACACACGUGCUACAAUGGUUGGUACAACGAGUUGCGAGUCGGUGACGGCGAGCUAAUCUCUUAAAGCCAAUCUCAGUUCGGAUUGUAGGCUGCAACUCGCCUACAUGAAGUCGGAAUCGCUAGUAAUCGCGGAUCAGCACGCCGCGGUGAAUACGUUCCCGGGCCUUGCACUCACCGCCCGUCA